CUGGACCCAAAAGGCGGGCAAUGGUGGGGAGGAUGGCUCUUGGAUCCAGCCUCUUAGUGUUUUGCUUCUUUCUGACACCUGCCUGCUCGUUUCCCCUCGCCUGAGCACACUGGGAACUUGGGCAGAUUUGCAGAAAAGGGAAUCAAACCUCAAGAGAGAUGACAUGAGUGGUCCAAAGUCACACAGCUGUACCACUGGAGCUAAGAUCUGCGAUACGGAAGAUGAGAAUGUGAACGGCCAGAAUCCUUCCUUCAUGUGGUGUCUUCCUCCCAGAGCUUAUUCAACAGUAAAGUACAAAUCUGUAGACUUUUCUGCAUGUACAGCUUUAUAUGUCCCCUUUUUCUUAGACUAGAGCUCUGAGCAUCAGCCACAGACUUAUCG